GUCGGUAACGUCGGUAACACUGCGCGGUAUUCUCUUAUCCCCGUGAAUGCUUUCAUUCUAUACAAUUCAGAUCCGCAUAUUUAAAAUGUUGCGGAUUUUUCAUUUAAUGGAUCGUCUGUCUGGUUGGUGGUUGAUAAAAUGGGAAGAACAACGAACAGAGACCAGUUUUCAACAAUAAUAUCGGCAAUGAAAUUAAAUCCAGAUAUUGCAAAAAAUAAUGCAAAAAGGCAACCCGAGGACUUACGUGAGUUUUGGAAAAAUCUUAAGGAAAGACUGAACAUCCUAGGCCCACCAAUAAAAGAUGUGACGGAGUGGAAGAAGGUAUGGAGCGACUACAAAUCGCAUUUGAAGAAAAAACUAUCACAACACAAAC